GACGAACGCUGGCGGCGUGCUUAACACAUGCGAGUCGAACGGUGAAGCGCCUUCCUUUUUGGUGGGUGUGGAUGAGUGGCGAACGGGUGAGUAACACGUGAGUAACCUGCCCCCUUCUUCUGGAUAACCGCAUGAAAGUGUGGCUAAUAUGGGAUAUUCUGGGUCUGUCGCAUGAUGGGUCUGGGAAAGAUAUUGUUUCGGUGGGGGAUGGGCUCGCGGCCUAUCAGCUUGUUGGUGGGGUGAUGGCCUACCAAGGCGGUGACGGGUAGCCGGCCUGAGAGGGUGGACGGUCACACUGGGACUGAGACACGGCCCAGACUCCUACGGGAGGCAGCAGUGGGGAAUAUUGCACAAUGGGCGCAAGCCUGAUGCAGCGACGCCGCGUGAGGGAUGGAGGCCUUCGGGUUGUGAACCUCUUUCGCCAGUGAAGCAGGCCUGCCUCGUUUGUGGGUGGGUUGACGGUAGCUGGAUAAGAAGCGCCGGCUAACUACGUG
rnacentral:rRNA from 1 species